AACGAACGCUGGCGGCAUGCCUAACACAUGCAAGUCGAACGAGACCUUCGGGUCUAGUGGCGCACGGGUGCGUAACGCGUGGGAACCUGCCCUUAGGUUCGGAAUAACUCCCCGAAAGGGGUGCUAAUACCGGAUAAUGUCUUCGGACCAAAGAUUUAUCGCCUUUGGAUGGGCCCGCGUUGGAUUAGCUAGUUGGUAGGGUAAAAGCCUACCAAGGCGACGAUCCAUAGCUGGUCUGAGAGGAUGAUCAGCCACACUGAGACUGAGACACGGCCCAGACUCCUACGGGAGGCAGCAGUGGGGAAUAUUGGACAAUGGGCGAAAGCCUGAUCCAGCAAUGCCGCGUGAGUGAUGAAGGCCUUAGGGUUGUAAAGCUCUUUUACCCGGGAUGAUAAUGACAGUACCGGGAGAAUAAGCUCCGGCUAACUCCGCG
rnacentral:rRNA from 1 species